rnacentral:lncRNA from 1 species
GGCUGGUAAGGCACAAGGCUAUACACAAAACAAUCUCCCACCAAGCACUCAACAAACACAUACAUAUAUAUAGGACUCUCAAUCAGAGGCAACUAGAAAACACCUGCCUCCAAUUGAGAGUCCAACCCCAAUUAACAAAACAUAGAAAUACAAAAGACUAGACAGAACAUAGAAAUACUCUAACAUAGAACAGUGCCCAAAAACCCCCGGAAUACAUAAAUCAAAUACCCUACUAAACAAACCACCACCCCGAACCACAUAAAACAAAUACCCUCUGCCACGUCCUGACUAAACUACAAUAACAAAUAACCCCUAUUACUGGUCAGGACGUGACAGUUGGGACAUCAAAAAUCUGUUCCCAACUAUCUUGAAUUUUAUGCCGAAUAGUUGUCAAACCUCUUGACCUUAAAUGAAACUGAUACAUUUUACGAUUUAUACUAUUCAUUUUAAGCCAUGCCUGGUUUUUCAUUGGAGGCAGAAAAAACAAUGAAUUCCUUUCUCUUUUGAGUAAUUGUCUCUUUCAUUUUUGUCGUAGAGCUGUGAUGAGUUGGUUAUACUCCAUACACCUUUGUUUGUUGCUUGUGUGACAUAAUUUUACCGUCCUGAUUUACAAUGUCAUUCAUGAACAUGAUACCUUCCUUAUCCAUAUUUUCCAAUAAAAUUGGUCUUUCCUCUAUCUAGUACAUUGAACUUUAGCGAUAUUAUUUGCUAACAAUACACAUAUGAUUAUUCUAUUAAAGACAAUUUUGUGAGGGUAACCUACUAGAAAUGUAAACACUAAAAACUUGUUUGAUAUACUAUCAUUUCACAAUAACACAUUUUCUUGUAACACAAGUCAAAUUUUAACACAUUAAAAAUGGAUUCCACUGGUCUUUGCUUUCACAAACACCUUAAAGGUUGUUUGGAGUGCCUUUUUAGUUUCUAAAUACAUUACAAUUGCAUUGGACACAGGUUAUCAAGUCAUUUCACAUGCAAUGGAACAUGUUACAAUUCUGGUAGGGUAACUGAUGCUUUUGGUGGUUCCAUGCUUUCUUGGUUGUUCAUCUGAUGACAUCUUCUUGAUCCCGAUUAUAUCAUUCAACUCCUCUUCUAAUAGUUUUAUUUUUAUUCACCCAAAUUCU